UACGUAGGUGGCGAGCGUUGUCCGGAUUUACUGGGCGUAAAGAGCGCGCAGGCGGUCGUCCAAGUCGCGUGUGAAAGCCCCCGGCUCAACUGGGGAGGGUCACGCGAUACUGAUCGACUCGAAGGCAGGAGAGGGAAGCGGAAUUCCCGGUGUAGUGGUGAAAUGCGUAGAUAUCGGGAGGAACACCGGUGGCGAAGGCGGGUCUCUGGGCAUCUCCUGACGCUGAGGCGCGAAAGCGUGGGGAGCAAACGGG
rnacentral:rRNA from 1 species